CUGCAUGGAUGACUAUAAAAAGGGAGAGGCCCGGCUGCCAUGCACAGGACGUUUCAACCGGAGUGCGAGCAAGUAGGAGAGACCGCCGAUAUACUUAACGAUGAAGCUGUUACACUUGACUUCGGCUGUCGCCAUUUUAGUGGUGCUUGCAAUUACCUUGGUCAAUAGCAGUCCAUUACAAAGACUCAAGCGAGCUAUAGAAGCUCAAGAGAAUCUACAAGACGACGACAGAAUGUCGAGUUAUACUCAGAAGAGAGUAGCUCCCGAACAGUCAACAGGAAUCAAGAGCAUGGAAGGCAAACAUAAAUGCUUGCCAGGGUUGUGGACAUGUCUCCAUUCCAAUCCAAUGGCGUCAGAAAACACGGAGAUCAGUUACGACAAGGAUCAGGCCUCGUCAGGGGAAGGUCUUCUUCAAGGACCAAGAGACAAACGAAGCCCUCUCACAGCAAGUGAUAUCGAAGAAAACAACAACGCUGAGUUGACCAAAGAAAUUGCGAGUACCUGCCCUCCCGGAAUCUGGGUUUGUGGGAAGAAAAAGCGUACAGACUCGAACACAAAGUUUAGGCGAGCGUUAAAAAGAUUUUACUGAGAUCUGGAUGAGAUUUUUUUGCGGACAGGGUUGCAUUCAACCUGAAAUUACUGGACAGAUUAGUUUUGACGAAGUGUCUAUCAAACCGAGCAUUGUAAAGUUUGCAUUGACAGCUUAUUGGUAUCGCGUCUUUAUUGUUUAACUUAUUCAUUUGGUAGCUUUUGAAUCUGUUUUAUUUAGGAAAUAUCUAUUUAAACUUACUACGGUUCCCAUGCUAUUCUUAAGGUUUUUGGAACUAAUUAAGUUUAUUUAUAGCGUUUAAAGUGUUAUAUGUCUAGAUAUGUAGCCCUUUCGUGUGAAAAUAGAAUAAAAUGGGUGAGUCAGCUGAAACUCAAUUUGAA